GAUGAAGAACGUAGCGAAAUGCGAUAAGUAAUGUGAAUUGCAGAAUUCAGUGAAUCAUCGAAUCUUUGAACGCACAUUGCGCCCGCCAGUAUUCUGGCGGGCAUGCCUGUUCGAGCGUCAAUUCAACCAUCAAGCCCUGCUUGCGUUGGGGUCCUGCGGCUGCCCGCAGGCCCUGAAAACCAGUGGCGGGCUCGCUAGUCACACCGAGCGCAGUAAUACAUCUCGCUUUGGGCGUGCGGCGGGUUCUUGCCGUUAAACACCCCCUUUUUACCAAGGUUGACCUCGGAUCAGGUAGGAAUACCCGCUGAACUUAAGCAUAUCAAUAAGCGGAGGA
rnacentral:misc_RNA from 1 species